UACAGAGGUCUCAAGCGUUGUUCGGAUUCAUUGGGCGUAAAGGGUGCGUAGGCGGCGCGGUAAGUCGGGUGUGAAAUCUCGGGGCUUAACUCCGAAACUGCAUUCGAUACUGCCGUGCUUGAGGACUGGAGAGGAGACUGGAAUUUACGGUGUAGCGGUGAAAUGCGUAGAUAUCGUAAGGAAGACAGUGGCGAAGGCGGGUCUCUGGACAGUUCCUGACGCUGAGGCACGAAGGCCAGGGGAGCAAACGGG
rnacentral:rRNA from 1 species